CUCUGGGGGGCAUGCAUGCAGUCAAGACUCUGGACUCGAGGAUGAAAUCAGGUCUUGGGAUCGAUCCUGACUGGAGGCAGACUGCACGCCUCGCUGUGGGCACUCUUACGGCACGUAGAACCAGAGCUCCAGUUUGAUUGAGACGACGUUCGUGAUGUUUCACGAGUUGGGUGGUGACGACGGAGCUCGCGUUGGUGGUGGUGAGGCGCAGUGGUGCAGGAAGGGGAGAUUCAUGAGGGUGCUGUUGAGACAGGUCGCGGAUUUCCUGAACGUUCUGGAGCAACGCCGAAGGCAGGGAGGGUGAGGGGGACCAUAGAAGCGCUCACUUUCUGGGCACCGAUUCGUGCUGCAAUCUGUGCUGCAAGUCAAAGUGACGACCAGUCCUGCUUUUGGUCUCUAGUUUGGUUUAGUUCAGAUUUUCUGGUUUUUUGCUUUUUCUUUUUCUGUCUUAUUUAUUUUUUUGUUCUUCGCCUUCCCUGGAUUGACUGUAUUAAUUUCCCCAUGAUUGGUAUAAAUUAGACGUUAACUUGCUCUAUCUUUCCAACCACACUAAGUUUCUCCCCUCAUGCAACUAGUUGUGCUGUGCAAUUUGGCUCAAUCACCUGUGCUUGUAAAUAAUGUCUGUUCUAACAUGAAUGUGUUUGGAGAAUCUUUUCAUGUUUUUGUCAAUUUUAAGAGUAAGGUUCAGAGUGAAGAUUGUUAAUCCGGGUGGCGUAUGAUGAGAGUGAUAUUUUACAAUGAUAAUGUCUACUUUUUCCAAACAGUAAACUCAUCAAUAGACAAUCCUAACAUAAACAAUAUAUCAAAACAAAUUGGGUCUUAAGGCUGAUGCCUCCAAGAAGAGCAGGGUCAUUCCUUAUUUCUUGUAUUUUUUCAUUUAUCUUUUCUUUUUUUGAGGCUCUUUGCUACCUCCCUCUUUUAUUACUUCAUUCCCUUACCUUUUAUUGAACUUUGAAUUAAAAUUGUUUAUCACCCGUUUACUUUGAAUGUAUUCAAGAGCAGAGCUCAGUACAUAUAUGCCUUAUCAGCAGUUUAUUGGUUUCUAAAUCUUUAACUCACGGAUGAAUUCCCCAUGCCUCCCGUAGUUACUUUCCAAAGAAAAUUGUGAUUGACGACUUGGGCAGGCAAGUUAUGCGCUGGGAGCUGAAGGAAAUCGAUGGGGGUGAUACAUCUGCAUAGGGGCUAGAAGGCGAAGAGUUUUGUGAAGGUUUGGACAUCAUGAAGAACGUUGUUGACGUUGCUGAUGCCGAAGUUGCGCUCACGGAGGAUGACUUCAUUGUACCUAUUUUUAAAUGAAAAUUUAAAAUAACAUUGUCACUA